CGGACGGGUGAGUAACACGUGGAUAACCUACCUAUAAGACUGGGAUAACUUCGGGAAACCGGAGCUAAUACCGGAUAAUAUAUUGAACCGCAUGGUUCAAUAGUGAAAGACGGUUUUGCUGUCACUUAUAGAUGGAUCCGCGCCGCAUUAGCUAGUUGGUAAGGUAACGGCUUACCAAGGCGACGAUGCGUAGCCGAUCUGAGAGGGUGAUCGGCCACACUGGAACUGAGACACGGUCCAG
rnacentral:rRNA from 1 species